UCCAAAAUUAUGCGCGGAGGGAUAUAUUAUUAAUUUGUAUAUUAAAUAUUAUUAGUGGAAUAUGUUAGUUUAUGGCAACGAACGAUUGCUUUAGUUCAUUUUAAGUUAAUACGGAUGCCAAUCGCUUCGGUGGUGGCUUUUCGGCACAUUCUGUACUAACGUACAUUGUUCUAUACUGCAGUGAAAUUACAAGUAUAUGUUAUAAAAUGGAAGAGGUGGAGUAUCUGGAAGAAUACAAAGAAGUAAUAUUACCAUAGUGCGACGGCGCAGAAUGAUUAUAGUUUUCCUACAAUGUCUGAAGAAAUUUGUACAACAUCACUUGGCUGUCCCUCAGAUGAUGAAACAACAAUACAAGUGACAGCUGAAAUCAAUAGUGGUACUUAAUUAAGUGUACUAAGUGAAAGUAUUUCUUUAAAUAAUAUUUAUAGCAGUGAUGGCCAAGACGUGUCUGGUGACUUAGAUCAAUCCAGUGAAAACAUUGAUGAAAUUGGAAAAUAAAGAAGUUUCAACAAAAUACAAUAGUACAAGCAGACCAUAUUUUAAUCGUAAUAUUAUACAGACUAUUGCAUACAUAGUAGAGUGUGGAAAUAUGUCUAACUAUAUAAGACAGGAAAAAGCUGACAUCCUUAGCAACGAAGUUUUAGGUAAUCUGAAUGAAAAUCUUCUGGAGAUAUUAUGAGCGUGAAUAGUUCAACUGUAACUAAAUCAAAGAGAUUUGAAGAAAGUGAUUCCAGAAGACGGUAUUUACGAAAACGUGUGACAAAUUCAUCUAUGGAUGUGAUUGAGGCAAAAAAAGUAUUAAGAGAGCUCGGAAAUACAGACAUUGAGAAAAAAGAUUCAAAUGUGU